UGGGGAAUUUUGGACAAUGGGCGAAAGCCUGAUCCAGCAAUGCCGCGUGUGUGAAGAAGGCCUUCGGGUUGUAAAGCACUUUUGUCCGGAAAGAAAUCCUUGGCUCUAAUACAGUCGGGGGAUGACGGUACCGGAAGAAUAAGCACCGGCUAACUACGUGCCAGCAGCCGCGGUAAUACGUAGGGUGCAAGCGUUAAUCGGAAUUACUGGGCGUAAAGCGUGCGCAGGCGGUUUGCUAAGACCGAUGUGAAAUCCCCGGGCUCAACCUGGGAACUGCAUUGGUGACUGGGCAGGCUAGAGUAUGGCAGAGGGGGGUAGAAUUCCACGUGUAGCAGUGAAAUGCGUAGAGAUGUGGAGGAAUACCGAUGGCGAAGGCAGCCCCCUGGGCCAAUACUGACGCUCAUGCACGAAAGCGUGGGGAGCAAACAGGAUUAGAUACCCUGGUAGUCCACGCCCUAAACGAUGUCAACUAGUUGUUGGGGAUUCAUUUCCUUAGUAACGUAGCUAACGCGUGAAGUUGACCGCCUGGGGAGUAC
rnacentral:rRNA from 1 species